UAGUGAAGGUCCCAGCAGAGGCUUGAUCUGAAAGUAUGAGAGCUCUCUAACACUACACUAUAACCUUCACAUAUGGACUGUGCCAUGUCGUACAAUGCCUGAAUGUUUCUUGAUAUUUCACGGCAUUUCAUACCAUGGCCACAAAUGU
rnacentral:snoRNA from 2 species